rnacentral:rRNA from 1 species
GACAGAGGAUGCAAGCGUUAUCCGGAAUGAUUGGGCGUAAAGCGUCUGUAGGUGGCUUUUCAAGUCCGCCGUCAAAUCCCAGGGCUCAACCCUGGACAGGCGGUGGAAACUACCAAGCUGGAGUACGGUAGGGGCAGAGGGAAUUUCCGGUGGAGCGGUGGAAAUGCGUAGAUAUUCGGAAGAACACCAGUGGCGAAGGCGGCUCACUGGCCCGGUACUGACGCUGAGGUGCGAAAGCGUGGGGAGCAAACAGG